rnacentral:rRNA from 1 species
UCCAGACUCCUACGGGAGGCAGCAGUGGGGGAUAUUGCACAAUGGGGGGAACCCUGAUGCAGCGACGCCGCGUGGGUGAAGGAGCGUUUCGGCGCGUAAAGCCCUAUCGGCAGGGAAGAAGGAGGACGGUACCUGACUAAGAAGCCCCGGCUAACUACGUGCCAGCAGCCGCGGUAAUACGUAGGGGGCAAGCGUUAUCCGGAUUUACUGGGUGUAAAGGGAGCGUAGGCGGCAGUGCAAGUCAGAAGUGAAAGCCCGGGGCUCAACUCCGGGACUGCUUUUGAAACUGUACAGCUUGAUUGCAGGAGAGGCAAGUGGAAUUCCUAGUGUAGCGGUGAAAUGCGUAGAUAUUAGGAGGAACACCAGUGGCGAAGGCGUCUUACUGGACCGAAACUGACGGUGAGGCUCGAAAGCGUGGGGAGCAAACAGGAUUAGAUACCCGCGUAUCG